ensembl:lncRNA
CGGCAUUUCCUGCUGCAUUCCCUGAGAUAAGAGCAUAUGGAUCUGAGAGAAAUGAAGGGGAAGUAAAAGAACUGCAGGUCUACGUUGCUACUUCUGAGGUCCCGAAUGAACGGCAGUGAAUAAAUAUUGCCGAGUCUUAAUGGAAAGUCAUGUCUUACCCAAGCGUAUUUUAGCCUGCCUUACAGUCCAGAGUAUGGAAGUGGUUGGCAUUCAUGCAUUCAGUGUCAAAAGCUACGCAGCAACACUGAUACAGCUUUGGUACAGGAGGAGACCUAUCAGAAAGGAUUGGAAAGAACAUGGAUUUCAGCCUCGUAGAUAUGCUGUGUUUAAAUCGCAUGCUUUUCACCAGAAAGAAAAGUGGAAGGCACAUGUCAGUGCCAACAGCACCAUCUUCUGUCUGCAGAGGUUAUGCAGCCUUCACUCACGCUUCCCUGAGUCCUCCAGAGAUGGGGCCGGUUGAGACUCCUGGAUCUACUGCUGGAUGUUGAGCUCUUCCUUUCGCUAGUGCUUUCGCUUCUACCCAACUUGUUCAGCUUCAUCUAAACUUAGAAGAUAUGUACACAGGUCCCACUCACGAAGAGCUCCAAGCAUGGCAUCCACCCAGCAGGAAGCUGUGUCCUCUGCAUCCCCUGCAGCCUCUCUGUCCACAGAAACCAACGUGGCUUCCCAGACAGAGCUCCCAGGGAACAUGCAGCCACUCAGGUGUAGGGUUGCAGAGAGUGCCUGAACUCUGGAACUCAAUGGACAAGCAAAUGUGGAUGAAGGUCCAUCCAGGUUGGAGGGGUCACUUAUGGUCACUUUCGUCAAGAAAAACAGAAAGGCAGUUGUUAGAGAAACACAGAAUAUAUCAAUCUGAAAGAGGAUCACCAGGAUCACUGAGUCCAACUGCCAGCUCCAAACAGAAACACCCAAAACUCAAACCCUAUGUCUGAGAGAAUUGCUCAAAUGCUCCUUGAACUCUAGCAGCCUGGGGCCAUGGCCACUUCCCUGGGGACCACUCCUGCUGCAGUUGUUAACAUACUGUUAAUACUAAGCAUAAAUUUUGCUAUUUAUGUACCAACUAGCUCAUUACAUAUUAAUGAAUGCCUUCUGGGUGUAUUCAGUGCUAGUCAGACAGGGAUAAUCUUUCUUCCCAUGACCCCUACUGUUCCUUUCUUUUUCUUGACUUCAUAUCUACCUUCCUGAUUUUUUUUCCCUUUAGCUUUCUGCAUCACGUUCACAUACUCCCUAGUCUAACCUCUCAUGAGCUGAAUUCCUCAUCCACUUGUCUGAUCUGACAAUCUGCAGUAGUGCAGUUCAAAUGUAAAUGCUGUGUUUCAGUUGAUAAGAUUUUGCACCCGUUGUGAUAAAAAUAAAGGCAAGGUGGAAUUCAGACAAUAAUGGAGAAAAACAAAGCACCUGAUAUGUUAUUGUUUUGAUUGUACACACCUUUAAAGCUUAAUUUGGCUAGGUCCUGCAUGUGCCUGGAACUUUUGGGGACUUAUUCAAGCCUGUUUAAAAGAAGUGCCAACAAUACAUCUUGACUGCAUGCUUUAGGUAACAAAUGGAAGAAUUACUAAAGACAUCAGAGUGACUGGAUAAGCAAACAAAACAUGCUAUAGCAUAGAAGAGUUCUCAGCUGGUAGCAUUCUGUUCAGUUAUUUCAUACAUCCUGUCAUUCCUCUUCUGCAAAGUGUUUUUGUGUGAGUGAAACAAGGUACAGUGUUUUACUU